CCUACGGGGGGCAGCAGUGGGGAAUAUUGGACAAUGGGCGAAAGCCUGAUCCAGCCAUGCCGCGUGUGUGAAGAAGGCCUUCGGGUUGUAAAGCACUUUCAGUGGGGAAGAAAGCCUUGGGGCUAAGACCCUCGAGGAAGGACAUCACCCACAGAAGAAGCACCGGCUAACUCCGUGCCAGCAGCCGCGGUAAUACGGAGGGUGCGAGCGUUAAUCGGAAUUACUGGGCGUAAGCGCGCGUAGGCGGUCUGAUAAGCCGGUUGUGAAAGCCCCGGGCUCAACCUGGGAACGGCAUCCGGAACUGUCAGGCUAGAGUGCAGGAGAGGAAGGUAGAAUUCCCGGUGUAGCGGUGAAAUGCGUAGAGAUCGGGAGGAAUACCAGUGGCGAAGGCGGCCUUCUGGACUGACACUGACGCUGAGGUGCGAAAGCGUGGGUAGCAAACAGGAUUAGAUACCCCAGUAGUC
rnacentral:rRNA from 1 species